rnacentral:tRNA from 1 species
UCCUCCAUAGCUCAUUGGUUAGAGCGUCCAACCGGCACCUGGAAGGUCAUGGGUUCGAUUCCCGUUGUGGAGCUCAGAA